CUGGACAAAUAUUGUCCAAAACAAUGAAUCAAAGAGUGUAUUUAAGCAAAUUGAUUGUGUGUCACAGUGCAAGAACAACUGAUAUCUGUGCUGCUAUGCUAUGCUUACUGUUUGGGAUCGUAACUGGUCGUAAAGUUUUCGUUACUUGUCGACUUUUCCCGUCGUUCCUUCGACCUGAGAAACAGAAAGAAUUUUUGUCGUUUAUAUUUCAGUAUUUUUAUCUAUUUCAAUCAGUGUGACAAUUAUUUCUCCCUCCGCUAUACAGUAAACCAAAAAUUAGAAUAAAGGGAGAAGAAAACACUUGAAGCUGUGGAUUUUUAAUCAUGAGUCCUAUGAUUGUUUGUGAGCAGUCGAUGAGAAAGGAUCGUCAUCAUCAUAAUCAAUGUUGGUUUUUGGAACAAUACAUGUCUCCCAACCUGGAGCAGCCAUUUGAAGCACAAGUCAGAUAAGUUUGUGAAGUGGAAAAUACAAGUCAUUAUAGUUGUUAUUGGAGAUGAAAAUGAUGUGUAAAGAAUAUCACCAGCACUCAUCUUAGAACUUGUUUAAUUUUGUUGGAUUAUAGUGAGGUUUGUGUUAAGAUGGUUGGAGCUCAUAUGAAAUGGAAAUUGAGAUUUGUAGUUGAGUUUAGGGAAAACAAAUGGAACGCUUGAUUAAUUGACCUUUCUUUUAUUAUUAUAAUUGUUGCUGUUUUAUUUAUUUGUGUCAUGCAGUUGAAAUAAUACAAUGCUAGAAAUUGACUUGUGGCUACGCUACUGGCAAAAAAUAAGCUUAUAACUAAUGAAAAAUUGCUUGGUUAUUACAAAUUUGCUUUAGGUUUUGAUCAGUAGUUGUAUUAAGUUGAAUAAUAAUGAAAUAUAAAAGAUUUUUUGGA